rnacentral:rRNA from 1 species
CCUACGGGUGGCAGCAGUGAGGAAUAUUGGUCAAUGGACGAGAGUCUGAACCAGCCAAGCCGCGUGAAGGAUGACUGCCCUCUGGGUUGUAAACUUCUUUUAUAUGGGAAUAAAAUGAUUCACGUGUUGGAUUUUGUAUGUACCAUACGUGUAAGGAUCGGCCAACUUCGUUCCAGCAGACGCGGUAAUACGGAGGAUCCGAGCGUUAUCCGGAUUUAUUGGGUUUAGAGGGAGUGUAGGUGGAUUGUUAAGUCAGUUGUGAAAGUUUGCGGCUCAACCGUAAAUUUGCAGUUGAAACUGGCAGUCUGGAGUACAGUAGAGGAGGGCGGAAUUCGAGGUGUAGCGGUGAAAUGCUUAGAUAUCACGAAGAACACCGAUUGCGAAGGCAGUUAACUGG